rnacentral:misc_RNA from 1 species
AGCAGCCGCGGUAAUUCCAGCUCCAAUAGCGUAUAUUAAAGUUGUUGCAGUUAAAAAGCUCGUAGUUGAAUUUCGGGGUUAGUAGGCUGGUCGUGCCACUGGUACGUACUGGUCUCACUGAUUCCUCCUUCCUGAUGAACUGUAAUGCCAUUAAUUUGGUGUUGCAGGGAAACUGGACUGUUACUUUGAAAAAAUUAGAGUGUUUAAAGCAAGCUAACGCUUGAAUACAUUAGCAUGGAAUAAUGAAAUAGGACGUUCGAUCCUAUUUUGUUGGUUUCUAGGAUUGACGUAAUGAUUAAUAGGGAUAGUUGGGGGCAUUAGUAUUCAAUUGUCAGAGGUGAAAUUCUUGGAUUUAUUGAAGACUAACUACUGCGAAAGCAUUUGCCAAGGAUGUUUUCAUUAAUCAAGAACGAAAGUUAGGGGAUCGAAGACGAUCAGAUACCGUCGUAGUCUUAACCAUAAACUAUGCCGACUAGGGAUCGGAUGAUGUUAAUUUUUUAAUGACUCAUUCGGCGCCUUA